rnacentral:lncRNA from 1 species
UCCACUAUCAUUGUAUUUCAGCUGGUAUUGUUUAGUCAUAAUACAAACACAAUCUUCCUCCUGAUUGUAGCCAUCAAUGAAAACAUUCCAGGACAUAUUAUCUUUGCUUGGCUUUUCAUCAAACACCUUAUCAUGUUUCAAUUGAUUGCACAUUUGAAUUUGUAGGCUUGGAACUUCAAUCCUAUUCCUUACCUACAACAGCU